rnacentral:rRNA from 1 species
AACGCGUGGGCAACCUGCCCUCUAGAUGGGGACAACAUCCCGAAAGGGGUGCUAAUACCGAAUGUGACAGCAAUCUCGCAUGAGGAUGCUGUGAAAGAUGGCCUCUAUUUAUAAGCUAUCGCUAGAGGAUGGGCCUGCGUCUGAUUAGCUAGUUGGUGGGGUAACGGCCUACCAAGGCGAUGAUCAGUAGCCGGUCUGAGAGGAUGAACGGCCACAUUGGGACUGAGACACGGCCCAGACUCCUACGGGAGGCAGCAGUGGGGAAUCUUCCGCAAUGGGCGAAAGCCUGACGGAGCAAUGCCGCGUGAGUGAUGAAGGAAUUCGUUCCGUAAAGCUCUUUUGUUUAUGACGAAUGUGCAGGUUGUGAAUAAUGACUUGUAAUGACGG